CCUACGGGCGGCUGCAGUGGGGGAUAUUGCACAAUGGGGGGAACCCUGAUGCAGCGACGCCGCGUGGGUGAAGGAGUGCUUCGGCAUGUAAAGCCCUAUCGGCAGGGAAGAAGCAAGACGGUACCUGACUAAGAAGCCCCGGCUAACUACGUGCCAGCAGCCGCGGUAAUACGUAGGGGGCGAGCGUUAUCCGGAUUCACUGGGUGUAAAGGGAGCGUAGGCGGAGGCACAAGUCAGCGGUAAAAUCGCGGGGCUCAACCCCGCUCCGCCGUUGAAACUGUGUCCCUUGAGUGCGCGAAGGGUAGGCGGAAUGCGUGGUGUAGCGGUGAAAUGCAUAGAUAUCACGCAGAACUCCGAUCGCGAAGGCAGCCUACCGGCGCGCAACUGACGCUCAUGCACGAAAGCGUGGGUAUCGAACAGGAUUAGAUACCCGGGUAGUC
rnacentral:rRNA from 1 species